rnacentral:lncRNA from 1 species
GGACACUUCAAGAAACAUUUAUGCAGUUUUUGUUAUUUAUUUGAAAGAAUCAAAAUAAAAAGAUAUCUCUUGUCUAUCUAUGUAUUGCUCAGCUGGUUGAGGUUGCUUUGGGAAUUAGAAUGUAAUAAAUAAUAAUAAUGCAAUACUUUUUAGUGAGAGUAAUUAGUACAGUAAUCUAAUUACACUGUUGAAAAUGUAAGUAGAUAUCAAUUAAUUACUUUUAUUUCAACUGUAACCUACCAGUGCACACACACACACACACACACACACACACACACACACACACACACACACACACACACAUAAUUACAUACAUAUUUCAUUAUAUAUUUCUGCAUAAAUUGCAAGUUUCAUGCUAGAACCAAGUGCAGCACCUGUGGAUUUUUUUUUAUCAUCCACUAUUGUGAAAACUAUAACAACUAAAUUUUCCUUCAUUUAAAAAUUAAGAUAUUGACUGAAACAUGAAAAUGUACAGCAUGACAUGAACGACCCAUUGCAUCUUGUUUUCCAUCUAUCUAUUUUCAAACAGUCCAACAGAUGUUAACGGGCAGCUUUCAGCAUAAAAUUCCACUUCCACUGCAAUGCAUGCACAUACAAUCCCAAUAACACAAGAAUUGCAUGUUUUCUCACUAAGCUCUGAGCUUAACAUAAAAUGCGACCUGCACUUUUAAUACACUGUUGGAUGUCACUAGCACCGUUUGUCGACCGUGCACGUCCAGUUAUUUGGACCGUAGACUCGUGAUUGAUUGGGCGCGAGACUGUGGGGUCUGUGGGCGGCGCGUGAACGCAGCGUCUCUCCUCUCGCGCGCUGUGAUCCUACAGUGAAUGAAGCUCUAGCGUGGGAAAGACGAACAGGAUACGCGAAGCACUGACAUGGAUCCACUGUAACAUCGCUGCAAUAGCUGCUACUGCGUUCUCCACAGAUCAGCGUUCCUCCACCGUUAACUGCAGCACGAUUAAAGCCUGAAGACGAUGCGUCUGAUCGCAGUCAAAUCACAUCUGUUCAUCGCGCAGCUGUGGCUCAUCUGUCACACAGAUCUGGCCGUGUCGUACCUGAGAGGUCAGCGCAGACUCGCCGAGGACGUCGACUGGUCUUACAC